UACGAGGGGGGCUAGCGUUAUUCGGAAUUACUGGGCGUAAAGCGCACGCAGGCGGCUUGGUAAGUCAGCAGUGAAAGCCCGGGGCUCAAGCUCGGAAGUGCAUUUGAUACUGUCAAGCUUGAGUGUGGGAGAGGGGAGUGGAAUUCCUUGUGUAGAGGUGAAAUUCGUAGAUAUCAGGAGGAAAACCGGUGGCGAAGGCGGCUGACUGGGCCGGUACUGAAGCUUAGGUGCGAAAGCGUGGGGAGCAAACAGG
rnacentral:rRNA from 1 species